CACGAUACAACACAUCUACAACACAUCCGAGAGACCUGAAAUUGUAGAGAGAAGUGGUUCUGAUAGAACUGACUUGUGGUGACCAAGUCGUGCGUAAAUAAGUAAGGUACAACAGCUAGAGCUGGCAUCGACGGGUGAGUUUGGAAAGCUCAGCUCUUUACGGUAGAGAUUGGGUUACCAGCUCUACUCAACUGCUUUGGACUGACGAAGAGAACGAAGAAGAAAGCACUGAAUGAGGCUGCUUUGGUCGCUCUUCAAUGUUCUUAUGCCAUUUAGUUAGCCCGUGACAGCAAGAAAUGGUCUACCUUCUACGAAAUCGCAAGGUAGAAGCCAUAAACUGCGAAAGCUGGACCCAUAAAACAUGCGAAAGCUGCAACGAGGAUCGCAAGUACUGGUGGAAUACACGUACAGUAAUGGCUUGCUGACUAGAUGUAUAGAUGGAGUUGCUAUCGAACGAUACAGAACUCAGGAGGGGAUCUACAAUUUGCAAAGACGAUUUAUUUUCGGCCAGAAAUUUACGGAGUUCAUUCGUCUUCAGUCUUGGUGCAGUUGUUUCUCUCACUAUCAGUGACGGUUCGAGGAGACACUGCAUCGCAAUGCUCGGUGAAGAUACGGGGAUAUGAGGCUGUUAUCUCUCUCUCAAAGUCCACUGCACGUCGUCACAGAGCCUCAAUCCGAUCAGAGCAAGCAGCAAAGAUCAAAAGAGACUUAACGUCCAAUGUCAGACAGAAAAAUUUCGACGGAAAACUCCUGGCAGACCUCGGAGGAUUUAGGAAAGUAAACAGACUGGCUGUGGUCCUAGUACAAGAUGAGGAGAACAAGAUACUCGCAAUCUGUAAGACGAGUGACUCUACAAGGACUAUGACGAAGCAGACAAAGUGAAGAAGACUCUCGACGACCGGAGCCUAGCAGAUAAAAUGAUAGCCGUUGGAUUUGAUACGACAUCAUCCAAUACUGGUGGAGUUCACAAAAGGGCAUGUACUAUUCUUCAGCAGCUCCUCAAUCGACAAUCGACAGAUACUCAGGAUGGCCUACCCGCCUGGAGACAUCACGUCCUGGAGGCGGAGCUUGUAAGAGGAUCUGCCUCCAAGCAACUGUUCGGUGACACAACAUCACUCGAAAUAACCCUUUUCAAGAUCAAGAAGACCUCCUGGGAAGAUCUCUAUCUGCAGAACAUCGUCCUUCCCGAUAUCCUUACUUGCUACAGGAACGACGUAGGAUUAGGAGACCUUCUAUCCUUCAUUAAUCACAUCCGCCAACUCAACAACCAGCCCAGGAGAUUACAAUGAAUUCCUAGAGCUUGCUAAACUAAUCGAGUGAGAAAGCAUAGAGAUGAAGAAAGGAUUCCUCCAGAUACAAUGACCUGGAGCUGACCACCAUCCACCAUGCCAUAUACAUUAUGAAGACGGCUCUUCUUCAUUAGCUACCAUUUCACUGGACGAAGAAGAGAAACGUGUUCACUUUGUU